rnacentral:tRNA from 1 species
GGAGGUAUGCCAGAGUGGUUUAAUGGAACGAUCUCGAAAAUCGUUAUGUAGUAUUACAAUCAUAGGUUCGAAUCCUAUUGCCUCCG